rnacentral:rRNA from 1 species
CCGUGCCAGCAGCCGCGGUAAUACGGAGGGUGCAAGCGUUAAUCGGAAUUACUGGGCGUAAAGCGCGCGUAGGUGGCUUGAUAAGCCGGUUGUGAAAGCCCCGGGCUCAACCUGGGAACGGCAUCCGGAACUGUCAGGCUAGAGUGCAGGAGAGGAAGGUAGAAUUCCCGGUGUAGCGGUGAAAUGCGUAGAGAUCGGGAGGAAUACCAGUGGCGAAGGCGGCCUUCUGGACUGACACUGACACUGAGGUGCGAAAGCGUGGGUAGCAAACAGGAUUAGAUACCCUGGUAGUCCACGCCGUAAACGAUGUCGACCAGCCGUUGGGUGCCUAGAGCACUUUGUGGCGAAGUUAACGCGAUAAGUCGACCGCCUGGGGAGUACGGCCGCAAGGUUAAAACUCAAAUGAAUUGACGGGGGCCCGCACAAGCGGUGGAGCAUGUGGUUUAAUUCGAUGCAACGCGAAGAACCUUACCUACCCUUGACAUCUACAGAAGCCGGAAGAGAUUCUGGUGUGCCUUCGGGAACUGUAAGACAGGUGCUGCAUGGCUGUCGUCAGCUCGUGUUGUGAAAUGUUGGGUUAAGUCCCGUAACGAGCGCAACCCUUGUCCUUAUUUGCCAGCACGUAAUGGUGGGAACUCUAAGGAGACUGCCGGUGACAAACCGGAGGAAGGUGGGGACGACGUCAAGUCAUCAUGGCCCUUACGGGUAGGGCUACACACGUGCUACAAUGGCCGGUACAAAGGGCUGCGAGCUCGCGAGAGUCAGCGAAUCCCUUAAAGCCGGUCUCAGUCCGGAUCGGAGUCUGCAACUCGACUCCGUGAAGUCGGAAUCGCUAGUAAUCGUGAAUCAGAAUGUCACGGUGAAUACGUUCCCGGGCCUUGUACACACCGCCCGUCACACCAUGGGAGUGGACUGCACCAGAAGUG